rnacentral:rRNA from 1 species
AGGGCACCACCAGGAGUGGAGCCUGCGGCUUAAUUUGACUCAACACGGGAAAACUUACCCGGCCCGGACACUGGAAGGAUUGACAGAUUGAGAGCUCUUUCUUGAUUCAGUGGGUGGUGGUGCAUGGCCGUUCUUAGUUGGUGGAGCGAUUUGUCUGGUUAAUUCCGAUAACGAACGAGACUCUAGCCUACUAAAUAGACUACCGUUCCUUUGUGACGGUAGGACCUCUUAGAGGGACAGGCGGCGACUCAGCCGCACGAAACAGAGCAAUAACAGGUCUGUGAUGCCCUUAGAUGUCCGGGGCCGCACGCGCGCUACACUGAAGUGAUCAGCGUGCAUUAAUAACCCUCUCUGUCAAGAGUGGGUAACCCAUUGAACCUUCUUCGUGGUUGGGAUAGGGUACUGUAAUUCUUACCCUUGAACGAGGAAUUCCCAGUAAGCGCGAGUCAUAAGCUUGCGUUGAUUAUGUCCCUGCCCUUUGUACACACCGCCCGUCGCUACUACCGAUUGAAUGAUUUA